rnacentral:rRNA from 1 species
UACAGAGGGUGCAAGCGUUAAUCGGAAUUACUGGGCGUAAAGCGUGUGUAGGUGGUUUGCUAAGUCAGGUGUGAAAUCCCUGGGCUCAACCUAGGAAUUGCAUUUGAUACUGGCAGACUAGAGUGCGGUAGAGGAUGGUGGAAUUCCCGGUGUAGCGGUGAAAUGCGUAGAUAUCGGGGGGAACAUCAGUGGCGAAGGCGGCCAUCUGGACUGACACUGACACUGAGACACGAAAGCGUGGGGAGCAAACAGG